rnacentral:rRNA from 1 species
UCGGGAAUUUUGGGCAAUGGGCGAAAGCCUGACCCAGCAACGCCGCGUGAAGGAUGAGGUAUUUCGGUAUGUAAACUUCGAAAGAAUAGGAAGAAUAAAUGACGGUACUAUUUAUAAGGUCCGGCUAACUACGUGCCAGCAGCCGCGGUAAUACGUAGGGACCAAGCGUUGUUCGGAUUUACUGGGCGUAAAGGGCGCGUAGGCGGCAAUUCAAGUCAUCUGUGAAAUCUCCGGGCUUAACUCGGAACGGUCAGAUGAUACUGCUUUGCUAGAGUGCAGAAGGGGCAAUCGGAAUUCUUGGUGUAGCGGUGAAAUGCGUAGAUAUCAAGAGGAACACCUGAGGUGAAGACGGGUUGCUGGGCUGACACUGACGCUGAGGCGCGAAAGCCAGAGGAGCAAACGGGAUUAGAUACCCUAGUAGUCCCUGAGCGGGCUGGCAAGGCGCAU